UACAGAGGGGGCAAGCGUUGUUCGGAAUUACUGGGCGUAAAGGGCGCGUAGGCGGCCCGCUAAGUCGAACGUGAAAUCCCCGAGCUCAACUCGGGAACUGCGUCCGAUACUGGUGGGCUUGAAUCCGGGAGAGGGAUGCGGAAUUCCAGGUGUAGCGGUGAAAUGCGCAGAUAUCAGGAAGAACACCAAUGGCGAAAGCAGCUCUCUGGGACGGUACUGACGCUGAGACGCGAAAGCGUGGGGAGCGAACAGG
rnacentral:rRNA from 1 species